GGAAUUAACCAUAUCACGCUGCAACUUUUGACUGGUUUCCCACUGAAACUAAGCAGGGUUGAGCCUGACCAGUACCUGGAUGGGAGACCUCUUGGUGAAAACUAAGGUUGCUGCU
rnacentral:rRNA from 1 species